CGUGAGGGACAGAGCCAAGAUGGCGGCGGCGUGAGGGGAGUGAUGGCGGGGCUGGCGCGGCGAAUGCUCUGCAGGGCGGCGGGGCCGCCGAGCACCCGCCAGCUGCGGGAGGCCGAGGAGGCCGCCCCGGUGUUCCAGUACGCGGGGAAGGCGGCCAAGCGCAGCGACCGCGUGUUCGUGUGGGGCUUCAGCUUCUCGGGCGCCCUGGGCAUCCCCAGCUUCGUGAAGCCGGACGCGAGCUGGAAGAAGCCGCGGCGCAUCCAGACCACGCCGUACCGCCUGGAGACACAGGAGAAGAUAUCCUCUGCUGCCUGCGGUUAUGGAUUCACACUGCUGGCUUCUAACACGAGAGACAUCACCAAGGUGUGGGGCAUGGGGCUCAACAAGGAUUCCCAGCUGGGAUUCCAGAGAAGCAGAAGAGAUCAAACUAAGGGCUAUGAAUAUGUCUUGGAACCAUCUCCAAUUCCUUUACCACUGGAGAAGCCACAGCAAACUCGAGUCUUGCAAGUGUCCUGUGGGAGAGCCCAUUCCCUGGUCCUGACAGAUAAUGAAGGAGUUUUCACAAUGGGAAACAAUUCUUAUGGACAGUGUGGCCGGAAGGUUGUUGAAGAUGAAAUUUACAGUGAAAGCCAUCUCAUUCAUCAGCUGAAGGAAUUUGACAGCAGAGUUGUCCAGGUUGUGUGUGGGCAGGACCACAGUCUGUUUAGAACCAAGAAAGGUACAGUCUAUGCAUGUGGAUGGGGAGCUGAUGGACAAACAGGUCUUGGACACUAUAACAUCACCAGUGUUCCUACUAAGCUGCAUGGGGACAUUGCUGGAGUAAACAUUAUCCAGGUCUCUUCCUAUGGGGACUGUUGUCUGGCUGUUUCAGAUGAAGGAGAUGUCUUUGGCUGGGGAAAUUCAGAAUACUUGCAAUUGGCAUCUGUCACAGAAACCACACAGGUGAAUGUUCCCAGGCAUUUGCCAUUCAAGAUUGGGAAGGUAAAGGAGGCUGCCUGUGGAGGGACUGGCAACAUGGUGCUGACAGAAGAAGGAAAUGUUUUUGUCUGGGGAUAUGGAAUUCUUGGGAAAGGACCAAAUCUAAUAGAGACAGCAGUGCCAGAGAUGAUCCCACCCAGCCUUUUUGGCUGGUCAGACUUCAGUCCAGACAUCCGUGUUGCUCAUGUUCGCUGUGGACUCAGCCAAUUUGCAGCACUUACAAACAAAGGAGAACUGUUUGUGUGGGGGAAGAAUCUAAGAGGGUGCCUAGGAACUGGAAGAAUGGAAGACCAGUAUUUCCCAUGGAGGGUGUGGCUGGACAUUGGGGGUUAUGCCCUUUCAGACAGGCAGCUCCUGUCUGACAGUGAUGUGGCAAUGUGCCAGGAUCCUUGUCUGUGACCUCCUGCCCUACAACUAGCUGCUGUCCUCUGUCUUGCCUCUAAGGAAAAACUUGCUUUUUUAGACUCUGCUUUCCUCAAGUUUGAAGUCAGUUUUAAGUGAGUAAGCUUCAGGAGUGAGGCGCUGGUCUAUUGGCAUCAAAGCACAAACUGCCUUAGGGUGACUGUACCCGGAGAGGUGGUGGAUGUGGCAUGUGGAGUUGAUCACAUGGUAAGCAUGGUCAGGUCUUUCACCUAGAGAUGUUGCUGGGUCUCAGCACUGCACCAGGGCUUGGUUUUGAGCUUCUUGGAAAGGAAAAGUCAUUUUAUGGAACCAAGUGACUGUGAGCAGAGACAGCCAAAGCAGUAUCUGGGUGCCUUAUCAUCCCUGCCUCGCUGAAAUGCUGUGGCCUGGCUGCAGGAAGGAAGCACAUUCCCCGAGGAGCGUGGAGAUGCAGGGAGUGCUCUUGCUCCUUUGUGAUGAGCUCCCAGAGAAUCUGAGACCCAGCCCCACGCUGGUGAGCCCCUCUGUGCAUGCAGAGCAUCUCCCUUAAGGAAGACUGGCAUGGGAUGAAAUCUACAACACAGGACAAUGAAAUAUGGACAUUUCCUGUCACCAGUUCUGGAGUCAGUGUUGGGCACAGCCAAACUAUUUCUCAAGGGAAAACUUGGGUGGUUUUUUAUUACUAUCAUGUGGAAGAGAGGUCAUGCUAUGUCUUGAAGCCCAGCACAGCUGUCCUGGGUGGCCAUCCUCAUCUGCACUGUGCCCAGGCUGUUACCCUGUGCAGAAACUGAAUGCACAGCCCUCGCCUGGAGGCAGUGAUGUGUCUGUGGGCUGUUGAAGGCCUUCUGUAUUAGUGCUAAAGACUGAACACCAAAGAACAUUCAAAGAGUGAGAGCCUGUUUGCAGGGGUAAGUACUGUCAAAUAAGACAGCAGGCUCUGUGCUGCAGGACAGAUGGAUGGUGACAAGCCAAUCUAGCUUAUUGAGGGAGGCUGGAAACAAAGCCCUUGAUCAGCUGCCUGCAAAAUCAGUGCUCAGGCAUGGAUGUGAGCAAUGCUCACCACCCCUCAGGUACCUUUUGUCUCCUUGUGCUGAUCACACAUCACUGCCUUUGAUUGGUUUUGGAUUCCCUACACUCUUUCUGUUUUCAGAGGUAUGGUGGCUCUCAGUUGCAAUUAGCUGGGGAUUUCAGGAUUGCCUAGCAGGGGAAGGAAUGGGUAAAAAGCAGAGCUACAUUCCUUGGUACCUUCUUAGCAGUAAGCUGAUAGAGAUGGGAUGCAACAGCUGUAUCUGUAGCAAGCACUUACCCAAUCUCACACCCAAGUGUGGGGAACUGCCUCCUGUGAAACACUCCAAACAUCAGGCAGAGUUGUGACUUUUCUCUCUGUGUGGGAUACUUCAGUGUGCAAACUAUUUAGGUGGAAUCCAAGCUAGUAGGUUUUCAAUAAAGUGAUUAUAAAAUCUUUAUCAGUAGUAAUAGGAAUAUUGUUGAGCAUGAUUUGCUCAUGCAUUGAUCAGCUGUGCAUUUGAACUGCAGUAUUUUGGGUCAGUUAUGUGACAGGAAACCAAUUUUGUCAGCUGGGCUGGCUCCAUACCUGCAGGACUGAUAGCAUUGUAGUCAGGUAUUGCAUCCAUAUAUUGGCUUCAUUAGAUGAAAUUCUGUGCCAAAAUUCAGUGUGUAAACUUUAAUUAAAGUAAGUUUUGAAGGGUUUGCAUGAAAUACAGGAAAGGUGAACCAAAGUACAUGGAAAUAGAGCCACAUCUCUUGAGUUGUUGUUGAUGUUCCUGUGUAACACGCACUGCUGGGUGGGUGAGGCAGAACAGAAAGCUACUAUGAAACUGGCAGACCUUCAGUACUGUGAAUUCCCAUUUGGUUGGCCUUAAUUUAUACCUUAUUCAACAUGCAACUUGUGCAGUGUGUGGUGCCCAGGCAUGUCUUGUUGGCCUCAUGGGAGCUGCUCUCAUUCACAGCUGUUUGCUGGUGCACCUUGGGGCUGGGCCUUCUGAAGAGCUGGGUUGAGUCCUUGUGUUGCAUUCUUGCUGUACAAUAAAUUGCAAAUUCUGUGUUAA